UACAGUUUAGUGUAAACAUAAUUCUUACAGCACUGGGAAACCAAAAAUCCGUGUGACUCACUUUAUUGUGAUAUUUGCCUUAUUGCAGUGGUCUGGAACCAAAUCUACAACAUCUUUGAGGUCUGCCUGAACACAGGAUUAAACUGAUUGCAUUGAAUUAAUGGAUUAUACAGGAAGGAACUGACACCUUCACAAUUUUGAGUCUACUGCAAACCUGGUAGGAUGGAGAUGACCCCCAGGGCCAUCUUGGAAGCUGUGUAUCAAGGAUGGCAGAGCCUCAGCCCCUCUAGAUUCUGAAGGACUGACAGAUGGAAGGCUGCUUCCCCAACGUGUUCAACCCUACAGUGCUGUAGCAAAAGUAAACUU